GGAGCGGGAGGCGCCGGAGAAACCCGGAGUGCGGAGAAACGGAGCGGGGCUCGGGCGGAAAGGGGCCGCUUCUGGGCCGCUCGGCCCGGGGAAGCGGCGUGGAGAGGUGUUGAGGGAUGCAGAGCUCUUUCUGGGGGCGGGGUGGCGCUGCUCCUGCCCCGGGGAGCCUCAGAGCUGGGCAGCACGGGGAGCGAGCGACGGCAGAGGGAAAUGACCUGCGAAGGAGGAAGGGAAGGAGGACAGAGGGACGAGGAAAGCACGAUGGCAGGAAAGCUCUGUUCUGGCUCUCCAGUUUUAAGCAGAAGGAAGAACUAACCCAUGCUUGUGGUGGAAAUCAGGCUGUGGGCCCUUCGAGCGCUCCCAGCAGAUGGUGCUGUGAUCCUUCCGGCGGGCAAAUUACUUCCCCAGAGCUAUUCUGCACCAAAUCUCUGACAGCAAAGCAAGGCGAGCUGCUGUCCAGCCCCAGGUGGCUGCUAGUGCUUCCUGCAGUACAGCUGUGUGUACACACAGAGCUCCUCGCUGCGGCUUCAGAGCUGUCUGUGCAGCCUGAGUGCUUGAGCUCAGCCUCCCCUGAAAUCCCCCUGAGCUGUCACAGGGCCCGGGUCAGCCCUGCUGGUGGCUGCCGCUGGCCCUCCUGGUCUCACUGCAGAGGUGUGUGCAGUGCACUCUUCCUUCACUUCCUUCCUUUUCCUAGGAGGAAAAUGGCCUUAAGUUGCACCAGGGGAGGUUCAGGUUGGACGUUAGGGAACAAACUUUCUUCUCUGAAAGAGUGGUGAUUCACUGGCCUGCGUGGAAGAAAGGCCUGCAUGGGCCUUUAGUGUUCAACCCAGAGGUGCGUCCCUGAUGGGAGGAUGUCAAAUCAACUUGUAGCAAGCGUCAAACCUCACUACAGAAAUUAAUCUCCUCUGCUAUCUACUGUCUGGUCUGAUACAGUGACUGCAGAUGUGUGUUUUGAAGGAGACUGCUCUGCCUGUAUUGAGCUUUUCCAGCACUGAGGUCAUCUGCCUAGAAAUGAUAUCAACGUCCCCACAGAGUGAGGCAGAACAACUGUCCAUUCAUAGACCCAGUUUCUCUGCAAACAGCACAAAAACAAGGAGGCUCAGCAGAGCUCAGGGGGUUUUUGCCCUGGCCUGGCCUAUGGCUUCUGUGUGCUGGAAAUCUGCUGCUUCAUCCCAGCAGGGGGUGACAGGUUACUGUUAUCUCAGUGCUAAAUAACACAAAGGUGUACAAUCCGUAAUAAUAUUUCUUCAACAUCUUCUGUGGUAGAUUUUUCAACUCAGAACUAAGAUGACUACUUUCCUGUACUUCCAUAGUACAGAAAGCCAUUAUAUUUCCUGGAUGUUCCCUAUGACAAAAGGUGCCCCAGUUCUUUCGGGCUACAACAGCUAGAAUGGUUGUAUGAGAUACAGCUACCAAGAUACCAACCCAGUGUGAUUAUUAACAGGUAAUGCCUAACAUGUGUUAAAGAAAGGCUGUCAAAUCUGGCUGGCAACUACUCACAUCUCAGUGGUGUAACUUGUCAAUGUGUGCUUUUUUCCACCGUGUAAAGCAAUUCUGGUGAACUGCAAAAUGCACUUCACAGAAGGUUUGGUUGCAAGCAGAUGCCAGCCUCUCACUGUUGAUCUGGAGAUGUAUGCUGGAUGUGAACAGAGUAAAGAACUGAUUUCUGAAAGUAAAUUAAAAAAAAAACUCAGUACA